rnacentral:rRNA from 1 species
AACGAACGCUGGCGGCGUGCUUAAUACAUGCAAGUCGAACGAGAAAAGUCCCUUCGGGGAUCUAGUAAAGUGGCGCACGGGUGCGUAACACGUGGGUAACCAACCUUAGGGUUCGGGACAACACUUCGAAAGAGGUGCUAAUACCGGAUAAGACCACGCCCUCUUCGGGGGGUGAGGUAAAAGGUGGCCUCUCCUUGGAAGCUAUCGCCUUUUGACGAGCCCGCGGCCCAUCAGCUAGUUGGUGAGGUAAUGGCUCACCAAGGCUAAGACGGGUAGCUGGUCUGAGAGGAUGUCCAGCCACACUGGAACUGAGACACGGUCCAGACUCCUACGGGAGGCU